rnacentral:lncRNA from 1 species
AUAAUUCAAAUCAUUUCUUUGAGCAUUUAAUUUCUUCUUUUACCAUUUUGACCUGAUGUGCCUUGCAUUGUAUAUUGAGGUACAAUCCCUUAAUCCUUUAGAAAUUUUGCUAAUGGUCAUGGCCUUUGUUCCAUCUUGGCAUAUUUACCAUAGUACUCACCAUCUCUGUCGAAUCUGACUAUUUUAGUUAUUUUUUUUGAUUAUCUCUCAAUCUUUAUUUUUAAUUUUUUAAAUCCCUCAUAAUGUCAGUCCUAUC